rnacentral:RNase_P_RNA from 1 species
AGUGCAAAACGGCUUAUCGCUGUCUGCGAAAGCAGGGGGAGGAAAGUCCGGGCAACAUAGGGCAGUGUACCUUUGGAAACAAAGGGUACUAACGCAGAAAUGCGUUGGUAACAGAAAGGGUAGCAGAAAAUAACCACCAAGAUAAAACUUGUUUUGACUUGGAAAGGGUGAAAAAGUGAGGUAAGAGCUCACGCGCUCGAGUGGUAACACUCGUUUGGUACAAACCUUACACGUUGUAAUACCAAGUAUACUGUAGGUUGAGGGCUGCUCGUCCGAUUCUAACUUUGGUUAGAAACUACAGAGGGUAGGUAGCUAAGAUAAAUGAUAAGCACUUCAACUUAGGUUGAGGUACAGAACCCGGCUUAUAGUUUUGCAUUUUUU